AUGACGACGGCGAUGCGGUGGACUCCAUGUGAGGUGGAGGACGUCGGCGCGAGGUGGAGGCCGUCGGCGGCGAGAUGCCACUGGUGGCCGGUUGCGAUUAUGUGGAGUUCGCGCCUUGCUUAUAAGGAUAUCUUUGCUCUAAGGAAUAAAAAGGAUCUUCACACCCGGGAUAAUCUAUUGUUCAUUGUUAUAGUUGACUGGGUCAUGGCGAUUUUCAUGUUCUCAGCAGCCUGUGCCUCCGCGAGCCUGACAAUUUUCCUCAUGUGGGAUGUGAACUUCUGCGGGACAUACUCGCGGCUGGCCUGCCAGCAGUUUGCGCUUUCGGUCGUCCUGGCGUUCAUCACGUGGUUGCUGCAAGCUGCGUCUUCUUUCUCCGUGUUCUGGCUACUGGUUUCGUUCUACUAG
rnacentral:rRNA from 1 species